CACGUGGGUAACCUGCCUGUAAGACUGGGAUAACUCCGGGAAACCGGAGCUAAUACCGGAUAGUUCCUUGAACCGCAUGGUUCAAGGAUGAAAGACGGUUUCGGCUGUCACUUACAGAUGGACCCGCGGCGCAUUAGCUAGUUGGUGGGGUAAUGGCUCACCAAGGCGACGAUGCGUAGCCGACCUGAGAGGGUGAUCGGCCACACUGGGACUGAGACACGGCCCAGACUCCUACGGGAGGCAGCAGUAGGGAAUCUUCCGCAAUGGACGAAAGUCUGACGGAGCAACGCCGCGUGAGUGAUGAAGGUUUUCGGAUCGUAAAGCUCUGUUGUUAGGGAAGAACAAGUGCGAGAGUAACUGCUCGCACCUUGACGGUACCUAACCAGAAAGCCACGGCUAACUACGUGCCAGCAGCCGCGGUAAUACGUAGGUGGCAAGCGUUGUCCGGAAUUAUUGGGCGUAAAGGGCUCGCAGGCGGUUUCUUAAGUCUGAUGUGAAAGCCCCCGGCUCAACCGGGGAGGGUCAUUGGAAACUGGGAAACUUGAGUGCAUAAGAGGAGAGUGGAAUUCCACGUGUAGCGGUGAAAUGCGUAGAGAUGUGGAGGAACACCAGUG
rnacentral:rRNA from 2 species